CAGUCGCCACGGUAAAACAGAGGGUGCGAGCGUUAAUCGGAUUUACUGGGCGUAAAGCGUGCGUAGGCGGCUUCUUAAGUCGGAUGUGAAAUCCCUGAGCUUAACUUAGGAAUUGCAUUCGAUACUGGGAAGCUAGAGUAUGGGAGAGGAUGGUAGAAUUCCAGGUGUAGCGGUGAAAUGCGUAGAGAUCUGGAGGAAUACCGAUGGCGAAGGCAGCCAUCUGGCCUAAUACUGACGCUGAGGUACGAAAGCAUGGGGAGCAAACAGGAUUAGAUACCCGUGUAGUCCCUGUCUCUUAUAC
rnacentral:rRNA from 1 species